AAUCUGCGAUAAGCGCCGGUAAGGUGAUAUGAACCGUUAUAACCGGCGAUUUCCGAAUGGGGAAACCCAGUGUGAUUCGUCACACUAUCAUUAACUGAAUCCAUAGGUUAAUGAGGCGAACCGGGGGAACUGAAACAUCUAAGUACCCCGAGGAAAAGAAAUCAACCGAGAUUCCCCCAGUAGCGGCGAGCGAACGGGGAGGAGCCCAGAGCCUGAAUCAGCAUGUGUGUUAGUGGAAGCGUCUGGAAAGGCGCGCGAUACAGGGUGACAGCCCCGUACACAAAAGCGCAUGUGCUGUGAGCUCGAUGAGUAGGGCGGGACACGUGGUAUCCUGUCUGAAUAUGGGGGGACCAUCCUCCAAGGCUAAAUACUCCUGACUGACCGAUAGUGAACCAGUACCGUGAGGGAAAGGCGAAAAGAACCCCGGCGAGGGGAGUGAAAAAGAACCUGAAACCGUGUACGUACAAGCAGUGGGAGCACAGGUUUACCUGUGUGACUGCGUACCUUUUGUAUAAUGGGUCAGCGACUUAUAUUCUGUAGCAAGGUUAACCGAAUAGGGGAGCCGGAGGGAAACCGAGUCUUAAUUGGGCGUUAAGUUGCAGGGUAUAGACCCGAAACCCGGUGAUCUAGCCAUGGGCAGGUUGAAGGUUGGGUAACACUAACUGGAGGACCGAACCGACUAAUGUUGAAAAAUUAGCGGAUGACCUGUGGCUGGGGGUGAAAGGCCAAUCAAACCGGGAGAUAGCUGGUUCUCCCCGAAAGCUAUUUAGGUAGCGCCUCGUGAAUUCAUCUCCGGGGGUAGAGCACUGUUUCGGCUAGGGGGCCAUCCCGGCUUACCAACCCGAUGCAAACUGCGAAUACCGGAGAAUGUUAUCACGGGAGACACACGGCGGGUGCUAACGUCCGUCGUGAAGAGGGAAACAACCCAGACCGCCAGCUAAGGUCCCAAAGUCAUGGUUAAGUGGGAAACGAUGUGGGAAGGCCCAGACAGCCAGGAUGUUGGCUUAGAAGCAGCCAUCAUUUAAAGAAAGCGUAAUAGCUCACUGGUCGAGUCGGCCUGCGCGGAAGAUGUAACGGGGCUAAACCAUGCACCGAAGCUGCGGCAGC
rnacentral:rRNA from 1 species